AUGAUUGAGUUUGACGAAACUGAAUGUAAGAAUGAUAAUCGACGAAAGUGAUGACCUGUUUGGUCGACGAAACUGAAAGGUCCGACGAAACUGUUUGAUUGAUGAAAUAAGAAAGGUCCGACGAAACGGUUUGAUUGACGAAACAGAUUUGAAAUCUGUUUGAUAACGACCAAACUGAUUUAAUUAAUUGCUCGACGAAACGGAUUGAAGUGUAAGCGACGAAACUGGAAUGUUAUUGUGCGACGGAACAGAUGGAAGUGUAAGCGACGAAACUGAUAAGUAUUCCGACGAAACUGAAAAGUUGGGACAUUCUGUGUUGCUGUUGUAGCUGCUUAGCUGAGGAGGAAUAAAUGGAUGCUCAUUCGAGUAAAUGGUUAUGAAUAUGUUAUUUGGGUUAACAAGGAGGAGGCCU
rnacentral:lncRNA from 1 species